GGACAGAUGGCCGAGUGGUCUAAGGCGCCGUCUUAAGGAAUAUCUACCAUUGAACUGUAGUGUAAUCCGGCGGUCUUCGGGCGUGGGUUCGAAUCCCACUCUGUUCA
rfam:Puccinia sorghi strain RO10H11247 Scaffold_2491, whole genome shotgun sequence.